rnacentral:rRNA from 1 species
CAGUCGAGCGGUAACAGAUCUAGCUUGCUAGAUGCUGACGAGCGGCGGACGGGUGAGUAAUGCAUAGGAAUCUGCCCGAUAGUGGGGGAUAACCUGGGGAAACCCAGGCUAAUACCGCAUACGUCCUACGGGAGAAAGGGGGCUUCGGCUCCCGCUAUUGGAUGAGCCUAUGUCGGAUUAGCUAGUUGGUAAGGUAAUGGCUUACCAAGGCAACGAUCCGUAGCUGGUCUGAGAGGAUGAUCAGCCACAUCGGGACUGAGACACGGCCCGAACUCCUACGGGAGGCAGCAGUGGGGAAUAUUGGACAAUGGGGGCAACCCUGAUCCAGCCAUGCCGCGUGUGUGAAGAAGGCCCUCGGGUUGUAAAGCACUUUCAGCGAGGAAGAACGCCUGGCGGUUAAUACCCGCCAGGAAAGACAUCACUCGCAGAAGAAGCACCGGCUAACUCCGUGCCAGCAGCCGCGGUAAUACGGAGGGUGCAAGCGUUAAUCGGAAUUACUGGGCGUAAAGCGCGCGUAGGUGGCUUGAUAAGCCGGUUGUGAAAGCCCCGGGCUCAACCUGGGAACGGCAUCCGGAACUGUCAGGCUAGAGUGCAGGAGAGGAAGGUAGAAUUCCCGGUGUAGCGGUGAAAUGCGUAGAGAUCGGGAGGAAUACCAGUGGCGAAGGCGGCCUUCUGGACUGACACUGACACUGAGGUGCGAAAGCGUGGGUAGCAAACAGGAUUAGAUACCCUGGUAGUCCACGCCGUAAACGAUGUCGACCAGCCGUUGGGUGCCUAGAGCACUUUGUGGCGAAGUUAACGCGAUAAGUCGACCGCCUGGGGGAGUACGGCCGCAAGGUUAAAACUCAAUGAAUUGACGGGGGCCCGCACAAGCGGUGGGAGCAU